rnacentral:snRNA from 1 species
AUACUUACCUGGCAGGGGAAAUACCAUGAUCACGAAGGUGGUUUUCCCAGGGCGAGGCUCAUCCAUUGCACUCCGGAUGUACUGACCCCUGCGAUUUCCCCAAAUGUGGGAAACUCGACCGCAUAAUUUGUGGUAGUGGGGGACUGCGUUCGCGCUUUCCCCUG